CAAACGAUGGUUUUAUUAGCGCAUAUCGACAGAUACGCUUCACAAGUACAAUUAAUGCCAUAUAAAUCAUUCAUAUCCCUGCCCUGUCAUUUACGAGAAUACAGCAUAAACUCCAUAUCCUUAUCUGAAGCCGAUAACGCAGAGCAGAUAGAGCUCCGAGGCGCGACUGCAAAGAGCCCUGAGCGCUGCCGGCUCUCCCAAGCACGUGUUUGUACAGGGCUUUCACCGCCCAGCCACACGUCACCUGCUGCAGCGGCUGGGCAGGCUCUGCAGCCCGCUGGAGAGCAGGAAUCAAGCCCUGCAUCGCUCUGUGGCUUGCUGGCAAGGUUCCGACACUGCCACGAGAUUUGAUGUUUCUCCUGCAGGGAGCCCACACAGCUCCGCCGCUGAGCCUGGGGUGUCGGCAGCGGGGCACCCACGUACACCUCCAAGCAGAGGCGCUCCAUCUCCACCAGCCACCGCCGCAGCCCGCAGCGAGACAGGGCUGCAGGCAAAAGUUACAGCAAAGCGAUUUGAAAUGCCCCAGCUGUGCCGGAUGCAGAGGGACAGGCUGCGGCGCCACACUCGCCUGGGGCCAUGUGGGAACAGUGUCCCACGCCCAGCACCCAGCGCCCAGCCCCAGGAGGGCAGGCUGGGCUUCCCUCGCCCUCUCAGCAUCGUGCAUUGCCGAUGUUUGCCCUGUCCGGGGAAGGCUGUGCAUUCCUCAGUGCAGCUGCCCUUCUGUUCCUCCUCUGCCUCCCCGCCCUUCAGCUCUCGCCGCGAUGGGCAGUUCUGCCAGCCCCGAGGUACGAGGUCAGCUGGCAGAACGAUGGGGUCUGUGUGUGCCUGACAUCGGCCCCGGGGGAGAUGAGGAGGGAAGGGAAACUGGUUUUUGGGAAGGAGGAGGAGUACUCCAACAGUGCAGCUGGAGCAAGAGGCAGGCUAAGCUCUGUCACCAAAGCUGACAUGAGGAUACGGAGGAACACACAUCAGCUUGACCAGAGGCAGAAAGCAAGUUCAUACAGAAUCUGUUGUUUUAAAGCUGGAAAGAGUGGAAAACAGUGAGAGCUCUGCAGGCUGCUACUUUUUAAACUGCUUGACACAAUAUUCUUUUGUGUGGUUUCUGGAUCUGCUUCCAUUAUAUGUGUUUUUCGACUGUUUCUGGUGGAGGUUCUUUUACCUGGAGUGUGGAUAUGUUGCUGAAGAUGCUGUUCAAGUUUGCAGACUGCUCGUGUGCUACAAGCUAACCUUUACUGCCCUCAGUGCCUCCGGUCCCCUGUCUAUCCAACUUUAUUUGCCAUCAAAUUUAAAAUAAAAGGAAUUUGUUAUUUAUUCA
rnacentral:lncRNA from 1 species